UCGUUAGUUCUGACCUCAAUGGGAAGGUCAUUCCACCAACGGGGAACCAGGACAGACAGCAGUCUUGAGUGGACUGGGGAGGAGCAUAGAGGAGGAGCCAUGUGACCAGUAGUAGUGGAGCAUAGGGAUCUGGCUGGCAUGUAGAGGUGAAUUGGACUCUGGAGGUAUGCUGGACCUAACCCCUUGAGGGCUUGAUGUCACAGUCUGGUGACCCAAACAUUGACGACAUACCGGUUGGACACCUCUUGAUCAGUGCCAGUUCAUCAGAUGCCACAUUCUUCUGCCCAGAGAAGACUGCAGUCGUGCUUGAGGCUCACUUCAGCCCGACACGGCUCGCAUUUCGACUACCAAAGAACAGCACGACUCAGCUCGCUUCAGCCCUGCUUAGCCCCUAAAACUUGCACCGUUUUGGAGUGGGGCUGAAGCGAGCCAAACCGAGCCGAGUGAGGCUGGGGGUGUGAGCAGACACUCCCCUGUGCACUGAUUGGUGAGGAGGAGUGUCCUCACAUGCCCACACACGCCCCUCGAGCACGCUGGGAUCUGUAAACACCGUAAACCCGGAAGAAUAAUAAUUAUGAAUUACGAGAAUUUCUGAAGCCUUAUGUGCCUCGCCUCAUCUAUACGCUCUUGCCAGUAUCUGUUGGCGUUGUCAGUGACAACAAGCCACAGCACCAAGACCAGCAACACUAACGACUCCAUGUCCUCCAUGUUUAUUGUUUACUCUCCGGGUCGUGAGACUACCGCUUAAAAGCUCACUGAUGUCACUGUUUGCGCUGCUUAACGACAUCACGUGACGUCCACCCACUUUCGCUAACUCCAUCCAAUGUGUCCACCCACUUCCAGCCAGCACGGUUCAGUGCGGGCUUGUAGUCGAAAUGCAACUCCAACAGCCCCACUCAGCUCGACUCAGCACGGCACGGCUCAGCCCAACUCAGCCACGUUUGUAGUGGAAAAGUGGCAUAAGUUACCCAAAAGACAUGGUUAAUACAUUUGACUUUGUCCAGAAAGUGUUGAUGGGCCUGGAGGAUGGGAAGAUGAGACCUAGGGUUUUGAGCCUUAAAAAUGACCUUUUUGCUGUGUAGUAAUCACAAGUGUAAUGACAAGGUUGCUCCUCAACUUAUGUUUCAUGUACAUGUAACCCAAACAUACAUACACUUGCACUACAUUUUUUGCACAGAGAAA